AUGAACGCUGGCGGCGUGCCUAAUCCAUGCCAGUCGAGCGAACAGAUGAGGAGCUUGCUCCUCUGACGUUAGCGGCGGACGGGUGAGUAACACGUGGAUAACCUACCUAUAAGACUGGGAUAACUUCGGGAAACCGGAGCUAAUACCGGAUAAUAUAUUGAACCGCAUGGUUCAAUAGUGAAAGACGGUUUUGCUGUCACUUAUAUAUGGAUCCGCGCCGCAUUAGCUAGUUGGUAAGGUAACGGCUUACCAAGGCAACGAUGCGUAGCCGACCUGAGAGGGUGAUCGGCCACACUGGAACUGAGACACGGUCCAGACUCCUACGGGAGGCAGCAGUAGGGAAUCUUCCGCAAUGGGCGAAAGCCUGACGGAGCAACGCCGCGUGAGUGAUGAAGGUCUUCGGAUCGUAAAACUCUGUUAUUAGGGAAGAACAAAUGUGUAAGUAACUAUGCACGUCUUGACGGUACCUAAUCAGAAAGCCACGGCUAACUACGUG
rnacentral:rRNA from 1 species